AGUGGAUGGGGAGCAACCUAGUUGUGCGUGUGUAAAGGUAGUGCCAAGAAAAGCGGUGAUCAUGAUGAAAAUCAAUUCCCGGUACCCGAAACCGACACAGGUGGGCAAGUAGAGAAUACUAAGGGGCGCGAGGUAACUCUCUCCAAGGAACUCGGCAAAAUGACCCCGUAACUUAGGGAGAAGGGGUGCCACCGAGAGGUGGUCGCAGUGAAGAGGCCCAGGCGACUGUUUAGCAAAAACAUAGGUCUCUGCAAACUCGAAAGAGGAGGUAUAGGGGCUGACGCCUGCCCAGUGCCGGAAGGUCAAAGAAGUUGGUCAGUCUUAGGAUGAAGCUAGCGACUGAAGCCCCGGUGAACGGCGGCCGUAACUAUAACGGUCCUAAGGUAGCGAAAUUCCUUGUCGGGUAAGUUCCGACCCGCACGAAAGGCGUAACGAUCUGGGCGCUGUCUCGGAGAGAGGCUCGGCGAAAUAGGAUUGUCUGUGAAGAUACGGACUACCUGCAUUUGGACAGAAAGACCCUAUGAAGCUUUACUAUAGCUUGGAAUUGUGUUCGGGCUUCCUGUGCGCAGGAUAGGUGGGAGGCGUAGAAGGUAUUCUUGUGGGGAUACUGGAGCCAACGGUGAGAUACCACUCUCAGGAGGCUAGAAUUCUAACUUAAUUAAGGACAGUUUCAGGUGGUAGUUUGACUGGGGCGGUCGCCUCCAAAAAGGUAACGGAGGCGUACAAAGGUUCCCUCAGACUGGUUGGAAAUCAGUCGAAGAGUGCAAAGGCAGAAGGGAGCUUGACUGCGAGAAGUACAGUUCGAGCAGGGUGGAAACACGGUCUUAGUGAUCCGACGGUGCUGUGUGGAAGGGCCGUCGCUCAACGGAUAAAAGUUACUCUAAGGAUAACAGGCUGAUCUCCCCCAAGAGUUCACAUCGACGGGGAGGUUUGGCACCUCGAUGUCGGCUCAUCGCAACCUGGGGCGGAAGUACGUCCCAAGGGUUGGGCUGUUCGCCCAUUAAAGCGGUACGUGAGCUGGGUUCAGAACGUCGUGAGACAGUUCGGUCCAUAUCCGAUGUAGGCGUGAGAAUAUUGAGAGGAGCCUUCCUUAGUACGAGAGGACCGGGAAGGACGCACCGCUGGUGUACCUGUUAUGAUGCCAAUUGUAAACGCAGGGUAGCCAAGUGCGGAGAGGAUAACCGCUGAAAGCAUCUAAGUGGGAAGCCCACCUCAAGAUGAGUAUUCUGGUGUAAGGUCACGGGAAGACGACCCGUAAAUAGGCACGAGGUGGAAGUGCAGAGAUGUAUGAAGCCGAAGUGUACUAAUAGACCGUCGGCUUGAC
rnacentral:rRNA from 1 species